rnacentral:lncRNA from 1 species
CUUUAUAUAAACUUCAUUGUUUUUAUUUUCCUCUUAGUAGUACUGUUCCUUUUUGAGGAAAGAUAGGAAUGAAAUUAUUCCAAUAAAUAGUCUGCGUAUUCAGCAUUUACUGAGUGCCCUUCAGUUCCCCUGUGAAAACAAUACACCUGCACACGUAGUGGAGUCAGACGGUAUUUAUCAGGUUAAGAAUUUUGCCGCAAGUGCGAUGAUGACUGAGGAGAAACAAUGGCACCCCUGAUUGCAAAUUCUGAAUUUUCAGAAUGUAAAAGCCUUGCAAGGAAUAACACUAAGGCAUGUUGAUAAAUAGGAAACUUAAGAAAGGUUCAUUGAGCAAUUUUUACAGGAGGGGAAAGUACACUAAUUGCCAUGAUAGCGUACUGUGUUUCCAGGAGGACUGGUGCUUAUUUCACGGUUUGUGUCACUUGUGCGACGAGCUUGCCACGUCCCCCAGGCCUUCAUCCCUGCUCUGCGUGAUGCUCCCGUGUGCACAGAGCUCCUGCUUCUCUUCAAAGCUAGCUUGCAUGGACACUGGUGCCAAGCGUCCGGCACAUGAGGCUGUCGGGGUUCUCUCAUUUGCAACUGCACGUCCUCACCGAUAGAGAAUCCUCACUACUUUAUUAUUUCUCCUUUAGAAAUGAAAUUUGCUGUUGGCAUUCACCAUCUUUCUUUCUAGACAGAGCCCUGAUUAUGAAUUUACUGAUUCAUUAAUAAAGGUAUAUUAUGAGCCAGU